AUGGGGGAUAAGCUUCAUCGUCGAGAGGGAAAUAGCCCGGAUCACCAGCUAAGGCCCCUAAAUGACCGCUCAGUGAUAAAGGAGGUGGGGGUGCAAAGACAGCCAGGAGGGGAGCGUUCCGCCUUAGAGGGUAGCAACCUUGAAAGCGGGGGUCGACGAAGCGGAAGCGAGAAUGUCGGCUUGAGUAACGAAAACAUUGGUGAGAAUCCAAUGCCCCGAAAACCCAAGGUUUCCUCCGCAAGCUUAGGUGGAAGGCGAAGAAGGCGCCCUUCGGGGGGCCCGAGCCAUCAGUGA
rnacentral:rRNA from 1 species